rnacentral:rRNA from 1 species
GACGAACGCUGGCGGCGUGCCUAAUACAUGCAAGUCGAACGCAGUGGGGACGGGUGAGUAACACGUGGGUAACCUCCCAUCAGAGGGGAUAACACUUGGAAACAGGCGCUUAACCGACACUGACGGAUGAACUCGCGGUGCAUUAGCUAGUUGGUGAGGUAACGGCUCACCAAGGCAACGAUGCAUAGCCGACCUGAGAGGGUGAUCGGCCACACUGGGACUGAGACACGGCCCAGACUCCUACGGGAGGCAGCAGUAGGGAAUAUUGGGCAAUGGGCGAAAGUCUGACCGAGCAACGCCGCGUGAAUGAAGAAGGUUUUCGGGUCGUAAAGCUCUGUUAGUGGGGAGGCGGUAUCUGACGAGAAAGCCACGGCUAACUACGUGCCAGCAGCCGCGGUAAUAC